CGGACGGGUGAGUAACGCGUGGGUAACCUGCCUCAUACAGGGGGAUAACAGUUAGAAAUGGCUGCUAAUACCGCAUAAGACCACGGUACUGCAUGGUACAGUGGUAAAAACUCCGGUGGUAUGAGAUGGACCCGCGCCUGAUUAGGUAGUUGGUGAGGUAACGGCCCACCAAGCCGACGAUCAGUAGCCGACCUGAGAGGGUGACCGGCCACAUUGGGACUGAGACACGGCCCAG
rnacentral:rRNA from 1 species